UACGAAGGGGGCUAGCGUUGUUCGGAAUUACUGGGCGUAAAGCGUGCGCAGGCGGUUUUGUAAGUCUGUCGUGAAAGCCCCGGGCUCAACCUGGGAAUUGCGUUGGAGACUGCAAGGCUAGAAUCUGGCAGAGGGGGGUAGAAUUCCACGUGUAGCAGUGAAAUGCGUAGAGAUGUGGAGGAACACCGAUGGCGAAGGCAGCCCCCUGGGUCAAGAUUGACGCUCAUGCACGAAAGCGUGGGGAGCAAACAGG
rnacentral:rRNA from 1 species